rnacentral:rRNA from 1 species
AUUGAACGCUGGCGGCAGGCUUAACACAUGCAAGUCGAGCGGGGUGAUGGUGCUUGCACUAUCACUUAGCGGCGGACGGGUGAGUAAUGCUUAGGAAUCUGCCUAUUAGUGGGGGACAACAUCUCGAAAGGGGUGCUAAUACCGCAUACGUCCUACGGGAGAAAGCAGGGGACCACUUGUGACCUUGCGCUAAUAGAUGAGCCUAAGUCGGAUUAGCUAGUUGGUGGGGUAAAGGCCUACCAAGGCGACGAUCUGUAGCGGGUCUGAGAGGAUGAUCCGCCACACUGGGACUGAGACACGGCCCAGACUCCUACGGGAGGCAGCAGUGGGGAAUAUUGGACAAUGGGGGGAACCCUGAUCCAGCCAUGCCGCGUGUGUGAAGAAGGCCUUAUGGUUGUAAAGCACUUUAAGCGAGGAGGAGGCUCUUUUGGUUAAUACCCAAGAUGAGUGGACGUUACUCGCAGAAUAAGCACCGGCUAACUCUGUGCCAGCCGCCGCCGUAA